CCUGCCUUGUAAAUGUGUUGCAGUUGGCGACAUUUUUCAUAAUGAUCUCUUCAUAGAAAAGUGAAUUGCGCUGAUACUCGCAAGAUGUUUAUCAGACUGAUGAUGCUUUCUAUGUUCUGUGUGAUUGGCUGUUUGCCGUACAUGUCAAACUUUCAGCUGCACGCGCCUCACAAACUCUGGAUCAAACCUGUUGACACGGAAAUUAAUACCAAGCGUUGUGCUACAGCUGACCCUGAUCUAAACCAAGUUGGGUUUGGUUUUGUCAACUCAAAACUUACUCUGCAACUCAGUGUCUGUUCACCUCGCUUUGUGAGACAGGCCCGAGGUUUGGUCUUGCGAAUCUCUGUCACUUCCUGUUGGAGUGAUAGUGGAGUCAACUCUGUUCUUAACUCUCAAUCUUACUGCAGAAGAGUCAAACCGUCACAGAAUGACCACGCUGCUUUUCUUUCUCUGUAAGUUCAUAUAACUCUCAUUUCUUGCAGUAAUGGAGACAUUUUUGAAGUGAUUCAUUUUGUGAAAUAUGUUUGUGUUGUUCUCCUUAUACAGAUCUUCUGCUGUGCUGUCAAACAACAGAGAGUUUAACUCUUAAACCGGUGAUAUUAGGGGGAAAUGUGACUUUAUAUUGUCAUAUUGCAGCUAACAUUUUUUGGCUUUACCUGAAACCGCCUGAAUCUCUAGUGGUGAUAAUGCGGACUUACAGUUCAUCCUCAACAUCGGCUGUUUUUUUUUGAUCCAAAAGUCCAAAUCAAAUAUUCGUCAAAAAAUUACAGUUGUUUGUUUAUUAAUAACAUAACACAAGAUGAAUUAGGAAUAUAUUAUUGUGCAAAAGUCGUGUCUUUAGAGCUCAUCAAUGGCACUAAAGUUUACACUGGUAAGUGUUUCAUUUUAUAUUGAAUGCAUAAUACAGUACAUAUAAGCCUUUCAUUUACCUAUAUUUCUUACAGAAGCGGUGCAUCAGAAUUCAACAGUAGAAAAUGAUCAGGCACGUCGUGACAUCAAACUUCAGACUGUGGUGAUCACAUCCAUCUCAUGCAUCGCAUUGUUUUUGAUUAUUAUAGGUCUGCUAACUCUCAAAUGUGAGAAACUCAGAAAACCAUAUCAGAAUGACAAAGUGAAGCAGUUUGAUGACCUGAAUAAAGAAGAGUUUACUGAAGUGGAAUACCGUCUGUGUGAAUAACAUUUAGCGAGAACGACGACAAAACGAAGGAAACAGAUGACAUUCAGAAACUUGUGUCUUUAUAGCCUAUUAGCCUGACAAUAAAAAAU